CUAGCUACUUGGGAGGCUGAGGGUGGAGGAUCCUUUGACCCCAGGAGUUCAAGUACAGCCUGGGUAACAGAGAAAAACCAGGUGACUUAAAAAAAAAAUGUAGGUGCCACUCAGGGGUUCAAUCCCCAGACCACUGGCAUUUGAAAGCAUGUUACAUAAGCGUUUCAUAUUGCUGGGGUCACCAAAUCAAUUUAGUAUGUCACUAAUGGCAUGAAAAAAAGACAUAAUACAAAGUGCAGAAUGUUUAAUAAAUCUUUUGCUUCAAGUAUAAAUCAUGUGUAUACUGGGUCAUUGCAAAAUGUAUUUCUUAUGUGAGUUGUGGCUAAAACAUUUGAAAGACAUUGAUCUAAAUUAACGGUCUUCAAAAUUUUGUUUGCAUGUAUUUAUCAUUGUAAGUUUAGUUACAAAGGAUUUCAUGUGGAUUGUAAGCAUUAGCAUUGUUAAAUAAAACUUUUAAAAAUA
rnacentral:lncRNA from 1 species